rnacentral:rRNA from 1 species
CCUACGGGAGGCAGCAGUGAGGAAUAUUGGUCAAUGGCCGAGAGGCUGAACCAGCCAAGUCGCGUGAGGGAAGACGGCCCUACGGGUUGUAAACCUCUUUUGUCGGGGAGCAAAGCGAACCACGUGUGGUUCAUUGAGCGUACCCGAAGAAAACGCAUCGGCUAACUCCGUGCCAGCAGCCGCGGUAAUACGGAGGAUGCAAGCGUUAUCCGGAUUUACUGGGUGUAAAGGGGGCGCAGACGGCAGCGCAAGCCAGGAGUGAAAGCCCGGGGCCCAACCCCGGGACUGAUCUUGGAACUGGGCGGCUGGAGUGCAGGAGGGGCAGGCGGAAUUCCUGGUGUAGCGGUGAAAUGCGUAGAUAUCAGGAGGAACACCGGUGGCGAAGGCGGCCUGCUGGACUGCGACUGACGUUGAGGCCCGAAAGCGUGGGGAGCAAACAGGAUUAGAUACCCUUGUAGUC